rnacentral:tRNA from 1 species
AGGAAUUUAGGUUAAACUAGACCAAAAGCCUUCAAAGCUCUAAGUAGAUCCUCACAGAUCUAAUUCCUG